rnacentral:rRNA from 1 species
UACGGGGGGGGCAAGCGUUGUUCGGAAUUACUGGGCGUAAAGGCUCGUAGGCGGCCAACUAAGUCAGACGUGAAUCCCUCGGCUUAACCGGGGAACUGCGUCUGAUACUGGAUGGCUUGAGUUUGGGAGAGGGAUGCGGAAUUCCAGGUGUAGCGGUGAAAUGCGUAGAUAUCAUAAGGAAGACCAGUGGCGAAGGCGGUCUCUGGACAGUUCCUGACACUGAGACACGAAGGCCAGGGAGCAAACGGG